rnacentral:lncRNA from 1 species
AUGCUUUACAGAAAUGCCAGAAUGCAUUCUUGGGAAAUCAAGCCAAGUACAGUUCAGUUUUUUCUAUGUUUUUAUUUUUCUGCUUCUUCCCAGGGGAAUUCUACCAGAAGCCUUCUUUGUCCUUCCGGCCACUACUGCCCCUCUGGCACUGGCUAUCCACUCCCCUGCCCCACAGGAUCUCUCUCCAUCUCCUGGGGACUGAAGGGUGCUGAUGAAUGCCCCCCAUGCCCCCCUGGACUGUUUUGUGACAGGCCUGCAAUAGCAGAGCUCUCAGAUGCUCUCCCAUGUCAUGCUGGGUAUGUUUGCUUGGGUGGCAGUUCCAGUCCCACCCCGUCUGACAGUUCCCAUGGCUACCUCUGUCCCGCUGGCUAUAGCUGUCCUGUUGGCUCAGCAAGUGAGGCGCCCUGUGAGCCUGGCACUUAUAGUCCUGCCCCUGGAGCAGCCCACUGUAUAACAUGCCCUAAAGGGACUAUGUGCUCCUCCUCAGCCACUCAAGAGCCCUCUGUCUGCCCGGCUGGUGAGGAUGGUGAAAAUAAACUACAGUUUACAGUAUAUACCACAUAAUUCAACCUUUCUACAUAUAGCAGCAAUACUCGCCACUGGUUAAAUGUCAAAUUCUGCGGUCAUGAUAAACUGAUAUUUAAUAAAAGCUCUCUUCGUAGGUCAUUUAUGUCCUGCUGGGACAGCCCUGCCUCAGCCGUGCCCUUCAGGGACUUUCAGCAACCAGACAGGAGCCCACUCUCUCUCUGUCUGCACUCCCUGUACCUCUGGAUCCUACUGUAGCUCACAUGGAGCCUCAGCACCACAAGGUGACCAGAUGCAAAGAUAAUUAUUUCAGUCACACGUUAAACCAUUUAUUCAGACAGGUGAAUUAAUGGUGUCAUUCUAUUUUUUUUCUAGGUCCUUGUUUACAGGGUUAUUUCUGUCAAGGUGGAGCCACAGAGCCAACACCCCACAGCUAUGACAACUUCCCCAGGAAUGGCCCUUGCCCUGUGGGCCACUACUGUCCAGCAGGGUGCCUCUACCCAAUUCCAUGCCCUCUUGGCAGCAUACGCAACACCACUGGUACACUGACUGUUUACACAAAUCAUGAAAUGGCAUUUUCUGUCACAUCACCCUGUGAUAUCCAGUAGUCGAUGUAGUAGAAAAGUGCAUUUACUCACGUACUGUUCAGAUCAGCUCAAACUUAAAUAUCUUCCGCAGUAAAUGCAGC